ACCUUCUCUUCGGAGCAGAGAGUGACAGGUGGUGCAUGGUUGUCGUCAGCUCGUGUCGUGAGAUGUUGGGUUAAGUCCCGCAACGAGCGCAACCCUUGUCUUUAGUAGCCAGCGGUUCGGCCGGGCACUCUAGGGAGACUGCCAGGGAUAACCUGGAGGAAGGCGGGGAUGACGUCAAAUCAUCAUGCCCCUUAUGACUUGGGCUACACACGUGCUACAAUGGCGUAAACAAAGGGAAGCAAAGCCGUGAGGCCGAGCAAAUCUCAAAAAUAACGUCUCAGUUCGGACUGUAGUCUGCAACCCGACUACACGAAGCUGGAAUCGCUAGUAAUCGCAGAUCAGAAUGCUGCGGUGAAUACGUUCCCGGGUCUUGUAACACACCGAA
rnacentral:rRNA from 1 species